GAUUUCUUAGCUCAGUGGCAGAGCGUGUGAUUCCAGAAAAGGAAAUUAUUCCUCACGGGACAUCCACAAGGUCAUCCGUUCAAUCCGGGUAGAAAUCA